rnacentral:rRNA from 1 species
UAAGGAAUAUUGGACAAUGGACGCAAGUCUGAUCCAGCCAUGCCGCGUGAAGGAUGAAUGCCCUCUGGGUUGUAAACUUCUUUUAUAGGGGAAGAAAGAUACUUUUUUUAAGGUAGUUGACGGUACCCUAUGAAUAAGCACCGGCUAACUCCGUGCCAGCAGCCGCGGUAAUACGGAGGGUGCAAGCGUUAUCCGGAUUUACUGGGUUUAAAGGGUGCGUAGGUGGGCUUAUAAGUCAGUGGUGAAAUCUCCGAGCUUAACUUGGAAACUGCCGUUGAUACUAUAGGUCUUGAAUUAUCUGGAGGUAAGCGGAAUAUGUCAUGUAGCGGUGAAAUGCUUAGAUAUGACAUAGAACACCAAUUGCGAAGGCAGCUUACUACAUAUAAAUUGACGCUGAGGCACGAAAGCGUGGGGAUCAAACA